CAAAAGCAGUACCCUGAGCCUGGUGCCUCCCAAGCCCAGCACCCCAGACAGUCACCUGGGUUGCGUGCCCCUAAAUCUAGCUCUGGUUCUGGAAUAAUAGCACCAUCAUUGCUUUCAACAGGAAAGUGACAGGCUGACAUUGUAGAACUGAUGAGGCCAUGAUUGGACCAUGCAGUGGGACUGGUAAAUCAUGAAGCAAGAGGACUGUGCAGUGGAGAAAAGUCACUAUCCAUGGGCAACAUUUACUUAUGGUGUUUAAAAUGCUAUAAUAUUCAAUUGCAGAGCAUGUUUCCUACCUGUAGGUUUCAUGGAAGAACUGUUUCCUGCAGAUCUUUUAAAAAGUAUAAGACAGGGGUUCCCCACUAUGGAUUUCUAUGGACUAGAGACAUGGUGUUCUUAGGGUGUCUAUCGAAAUAUAUCCAGAUUGUAGCAUUUACAUCCUCUGACCAAUUUUUUUCAGGACAUCAUUGUAUCAGAGUACUAAAAAAUUAAACGACUUUUAAACUUU